rnacentral:lncRNA from 1 species
CCAGAAGAUGCCCAAGCGCAAUAGCAGGCACCAAACCCUGGUUGAAGAAAUCUCAGUCACUCACCGAUGAUGUGACAGAAUCUCAGUCCGCGCUCCACCUGCCUUGGUGCCUCUCAGUCCCGGGCUCCCAUCCUCUUGACAGCCACCAACCGGCUCGAGUUCACAUCUAACAGGCAGGCAGGCAGGCAGGCAGUCGGUCCCUCGCGGUUCUGCUCAGCCUGGGAGGGAGGAGAGAACUGCGGAGUUUGGAGUCAUCCAGAGGGAAUCCUCUCCCUUCCACUGUCGCUCACUGAACAAGGGACGCAGAAGUUACAAUUUACCUUGGCAGAGGAUAUACUCUUGUACAUUUUACCUAAAAAACGCAGUAGGAGAAAGAAGAGGUUCAUGGAGCACCAUGAAGCAUGGGCACAACCAGAAUCAUCACAUACCAGUAAGAAGAGGAGGUGGUCAUCAUAUGGUUGUAGGAAUACUAAACUAAAAGGAACUUGGUUUAGAUAAUGAGCUGAGUUCCUAAUACUAAAUGAUUAUGUAAUGAAUAUCCUUUUCCAUCCUCUCUGCCUACCCAACCCCUCCCCUCUAUCAAAGCAUAGGCUUUGUAUGUGCAAGACUGUGUGAGUGAUUUUCAAGUGAAGAUAAACAGCAGAUGAGAUAAGGGAUCCUGGCUGAUGACUUUUGAAGAGCAGGGAUAAAAAUAAAAUAAAAUGUGGUUUACUGAAUAUAACUGUU